rnacentral:rRNA from 1 species
UACGAAGGGGGCAAGCGUUGUUCGGAAUUAUUGGGCGUAAAGGGCGCGUAGGCGGUGCGGUAAGAGUGUUGUGAAAGCCCCGGGCUCAACCUGGGAAUGGCAAUGGAUACUGGCGAGCUAGAGUGUGUCAGAGGAUGGUGGAAUUCCCGGUGUAGCGGUGAAAUGCGUAGAGAUCGGGAGGAACAUCAGUGGCGAAGGCGGCUAUCUGGACGGUUUCUGACGCUAAGACGCGAAAGCGUGGGGAGCAAACAGGG